rnacentral:rRNA from 1 species
AAAGUCGUAACAAGGUUUCCGUAGGUGCACCUGAUGCGGAAACAUUG